rnacentral:rRNA from 1 species
UACCAGCACCCCGAGUGGUCGGGACGUUUUAUUGGGCCUAAAGCAUCCGUAGCCGGUUCUACAAGUUCUUCCGUUAAAUCCAACUGCUUAACAGGUGGGCUGCGGAAGAUACUAUAGAGCUAGGAGGCGGGAGAGGCAAGCGGUACUCGAUGGGUAGGGGUAAAAUCCGUUGAUCCAUUGAAGACCACCAGUGGCGAAGGCGGCUUGCCAGAACGCGCUCGACGGUGAGGGAUGAAAGCUGGGGGAGCAACCGG